GAAAAAUAUGAUUUCUUAAUAAAAUGUUAUUUUGCUAAACGUUACAAAUCUCCAUAUUGGAACAAACGCCUUCAUUUUAUGAGGUAAUUCUAAAUGCAAUUACCUCAUACACUAUUGGCUCUUUUCAGGCCAGCUGUUUUGGACAUGUAAUGGACUAUUAGUCAUGUAAAAGGAUCUACAGUUCAAACAGUUCACGUUUUGGGCGGGGAUUAUGAGAAACUUUUAAAGAGAACAUCCAAAACACUUCAGCGGAUCCUGAUUGGGCAAGCAACCUGUCACUCGAAAGCCAGGGGCGUGGUUUAGGAGCGAUCGUUCUCAAUGUAAUAGAGUUUUAGCGCAGUCUUGCUUUUUCAUAGGCGUGUGUCAACUGUGUGUGCCAAGGGUGCUCCGCUCUUACCAAUGCGAUUAAUGAACACAACGAACCGAUUGAGGAAACACUAAACAAACAAGCUGCUUUUCCUUUUCGUCUGUAUUUUAAUACGGACGAGCUUCGCGUCUGCAAGGAAUCAUCCCUCUGCACGAGCACAAAGGAAAAUUAAAAAAGGGAAGAAAAGAGUGAAACGGAGCAGGAAAUUACAGCCUGAAGAUAAGGAGAUUCUUCCUCUCACAGAGACCAUGGAAUCCCAAGGUAGCGCAACACCACCCGUCACUCAACCAGGACUAACAGCGGAAGUUGAAAUUUAUUUUAUGUGUGCGUUGGAGCAGGCGGUAUUACUAAAACCUUGAAUCUUGGUAUAAGUAAUUGUGUAUAUACGAUUUUAAAAAUAUAUUUUUAUUAUAUAUUAAUGCAUAUUCAGUGGCCUUGAAAAUACGCAUGGAAAAUGCAUGAAUGUCUUUGCACUAUGAAACAAAAUGCACAUUAUAAACCAAGUCACAAAAUAACUGCUAAAAAUAACUCUAAAACUGUGUUCACAUAGAUUUGGCUGGGAAUUAUAAAACAACUGAUAAAUCACCUUGGGACCAAGUAAUUGCGAGAAAAAUAGUUCUGAGAAGAGCAUGACGAAAGUUAAUUCUUAGAAAAGCAUGAUGUCACUUGGCUGAUAUUUUAUUUCUAAUACACUGAAAUCUUCAGUAGUAUUCAGAGUAUUUUUGUUUUACUGGGAAUACUGUAAAAAAAGGUUUAUAUAAUAAACAAGCAUGCCUAGUUUUGGAUAAUCCA
ensembl:lncRNA